rnacentral:rRNA from 1 species
UACGGAGGGUGCGAGCGUUGUCCGGAAUCACUGGGCGUAAAGGGCGCGUAGGCGGCUCAUUAAGUGGCUGGUGAAAUCCCGGGGCUCAACUCCGGAACUGCAUUGGAUACUGCCUUGCUUGAGUACUGGAGAGGAGACUGGAAUUUACGGUGUAGCAGUGAAAUGCGUAGAGAUCGUAAGGAAGACCAGUGGCGAAGGCGAGUCUCUGGACAGUUACUGACGCUGAGGCACGAAGGCCAGGGGAGCAAACAGG